UGUAAACAUCCUUGACUGGAAGCUGGUGUUAGUUUCUGGGGCUUUCAGUCGGAUGUUUGCA
rnacentral:pre_miRNA from 1 species